GACGGAAGGUGCAAGCGUUGCUCGGAAUCACUGGGCGUAAAGGGUGCGUAGGCGGCUUGGUAAGUUGGGUGUGAAAGCCCCGGGCUCAGCCCGGGAAGGGCACUCGAAACUGCCGAGCUGGAGUGCCGGAGGGGAGAGUGGAAUUCCUGGUGUAGCGGUGGAAUGCGCAGAUAUCAGGAGGAACACCCGUAGCGAAGGCGGCACUCUGGGCCGAUUCUGACACUGAGGAGCGAAAGCGUGGGGAGCGAACAGG
rnacentral:rRNA from 1 species